rnacentral:lncRNA from 10 species
UGCUGGGAUUACAGGAGUGAGCCAUAGCGCUCGGGCUAUACAAGGUAUUUUUGAUGUUCUGUUGUAGAUAUUUUCUAAUUUCUGUUAGGAGUUCUUCAAGCCACAAAUUUUUAAUUAAUUCAUUCAUUAAUUUAUUUAUUUUGAGACAGGGUCUCUGUGGUCCAGGCUGGAGUGCAGUGGUUUGAUCAUGAAUCACUGCAGCCUUUAACUCCUGGGCUCAAGCAAUCUUCCCACCUCUGUUUCCCGAGUAGCUGGGACUACAGGUGUGCGCCACCAUGCCAGGCUAUUUUUAUUUUUAAUUUUUUUUAUAGAGACAGGGUCUCACUAUGUUGCCCAGGCUGGUCUCAAACUCCUGCACUCAAGCGAGUCUCCUGCCUCAGCCUCUGAAAGUGCUGGGAUUACGAGCAUUAGCCACUGUGUCCAGCCCCAUGAAUUAUUUAGAAGUGCAUUUUGACUUUUUUUUGAGACGGAGUCUUACACUGUCACCUGGGUUGGUGUGCAGUGGCACGAUCUUGGCUCUCUGCAACCUCCGUCUCUCGGGUUCAAGCGAUUCUCCUGCCUCAGCCUCCCGAGUAGCAGGAUUACAGGCGCCUGCCAUCACGCUCGGCUAAUUUUUGUAUUUUUAGUAGAGAUGAGGUUUCACUAUCUUGGCCAGGCUGAUCUUGAACUACUGACCUCAUGAUCCACCCUCUUUG